rnacentral:rRNA from 1 species
GACGAACCGUGCGAACGUUAUUCGGAAUCACUGGGCUUAAAGCGCGUGUAGGCGGAUGGGAACGUCGGUCGUUGAAAUCCCCCGGCUCAACCGGGGAAUGGGCGCCGAAACGACCCGUCUGGAGGGACGUAGGGGGACCUGGAACUUCCGGUGGAGCGGUGAAAUGCGUUGAGAUCGGAAGGAACAUCAGUGGCGAAAGCGACUUCCUGGACCAAUACUGACGCUCAUGUGCGAAAGCGUGGGGAGCAAACAGG